GAUGAACGCUGGCGGCGUGCCUAAUACAUGCAAGUCGAGCGAACAGACGAGGAGCUUGCUCCUUCGACGUUAGCGGCGGACGGGUGAGUAACACGUAGGUAACCUACCUAUAAGACUGGGAUAACUUCGGGAAACCGGAGCUAAUACCGGAUAAUAUUUCGAACCGCAUGGUUCGAUAGUGAAAGAUGGCUUUGCUAUCACUUAUAGAUGGACCUGCGCCGUAUUAGCUAGUUGGUAAGGUAACGGCUUACCAAGGCAACGAUACGUAGCCGACCUGAGAGGGUGAUCGGCCACACUGGAACUGAGACACGGUCCAGACUCCUACGGGAGGCAGCAGUAGGGAAUCUUCAGCAAUGGGCGAAAGCCUGACGGAGCAACGCCGCGUGAGUGAUGAAGGUCUUCGGAUCGUAAAACUCUGUUAUUAGGGAAGAACAAACGUGUAAGUAACUGUGCACGUCUUGACGGUACCUAAUCAGAAAGCCACGGCUAACUACGUG
rnacentral:rRNA from 1 species